GGAGUUAGGAAAUGUAAGUGCGCUAAUAUCGCAUUUAUUUGACGAAGGCUCCAAAGGAAGCCACGGCUAACUCUGUGCCAGCAGCCGCGGUAAUACAGAGGUGGCAAGCGUUGUUCGGAGUUAUUGGGCGUAAAGAGCACGUAGGUGGGUUUGUAAGUCAGAUGUGAAAGCCUUCUGUUCAACGGAAGAAUUGCAUCUGAAACUACAGACCUUGAGUAUAGGAGGGGAGAGUGGAACUUCUG
rnacentral:rRNA from 1 species